AUACGUAGGUGGCAAGCGUUGUCCGGAAUUAUUGGGCGUAAAGCGCAUGUAGGCGGUUUGGUAAGUCGGUCGUGAGAAUGCGGUGCUUAACGCCGUAUGGCGAUCGAAACUGCUGAACUUGAGUGCAGGAGAGGAAAGGGGAACUCCCAGUGUAGCGGUGAAAUGCGUAGAAAUUGGGAAGAACACCGGGGGCGAAGGCGAUUUUCGGGGCUGUGUCUGAAACUAAGACGCGACAGCAAGGGUAGUAAACGGGAUUAGAGACCCCGGUAAGCCUAGCCGUAAACGAUGUGAACUUGGCGUUGGUGGGGUAAACUCCAUCAGUGCCGAAGCAAACGCGAUAAGUACACCGCCUGGGGACUACGGCCGCAAGGUUAAAACUCAAAGGAAUUGACGGGG
rnacentral:rRNA from 1 species